CGCAUUCGCACUUCGGAGUCUAUGCACUUCAGUUUGGGACACAGCUAGUGUGGCGGUUUUCUGAGGAACACAUGAGACACAGGUGUGUUUAUCUGCAGCAGAGACACUGAUGAAGAAAUCACUGACAUCAAAGACUCUCAGUGAGGACAGUCAUCCAUAAAACAUCUUUUACAUCUUAACUUGUAGUUUAUUUUAAUUAUUGUCAUUUCAAACGGCACUUUUCUGAUUUUUGAUUGCUGUUCAUUUGAUGCAGAUCUUUUGUGGUGGAGCAGGUGAAGAAAGAAAAACCGGAAACCAAAAUAUAAAG